rnacentral:lncRNA from 1 species
UAUGAAAAAAUGAUCCGCCGAAGUUGUUAUGUAAUUAAUAAUAUUCUUUUAUUUUUCGUUAUAUAAUUUUUCCAUCAUGGCUGUCCGAUGUAAAAUGAUUGUCUAUAGAAGUAUGGACAAAAACAGUUGAACUUUUUUUCACUGCUCUAAUUGUAAGUAAAAUUAUACAUAUAUUGCAUAACUAAGGAUCCUUAUUUAUUGAUAAAAAAUUGAACGAAACGUAAUCGAUAACCGAAAUUGUCAAAAAAACGUCUAACUGAUUGUAUAUGUGACCUUUAUGAUGAGCCUAACGAUAACCUUAACAGUAAAAAAAAGAAAAAAGAGAAAGAUUAAAACGGAACAAAUUCUACAUAGGUAUACGUAUGUGUAUAUAGAAAACAAAAAAUAAUUAUGCAUUACCAAGCAUAAAUUGGCAAAA